UACAGAGGUCUCAAGCGUUGUUCGGAUUCAUUGGGCGUAAAGGGUGCGUAGGCGGCGGGGCAAGUCAGGUGUGAAAUCCCGGGGCUCAACCCUGGAACUGCACUUGAUACUGCUUUGCUAGAGUACUGGAGAGGAGAUUGGAAUUUACGGUGUAGCAGUGAAAUGCGUAGAUAUCGUAAGGAAGACCAGUGGCGAAGGCGAAUCUCUGGACAGUUACUGACGCUGAGGCACGAAAGCUAGGGGAGCAAACAGG
rnacentral:rRNA from 1 species